rnacentral:lncRNA from 1 species
AACUCUCUGCCCGGAGAGAGGCCCGACAGCUGCGACCCGACUGGUUCUGUCCGAGCCCGACGGGCCGCGCUGACCCAGCGACUGUGCCUGACUGACCACAGGUGCCGCCACCGCCUGAUAAUACGAGUGUGUCAGCUUCCGUCUGACUGAACGCAGGUUUCAUGGGUGCCUGACAGACCAAGACUGCUGGAUCUGUCAGCCUGGCCGCAGCUGGCUGACUGGCUGACUGGCUGGCUGGUUGACUGGCUGGCUGACUGGCUGCCUGGCUGGCUGGCUGGCUGGCUGCUCUUGCCCGGCCGCCAUCUGGGCCUGACGGGCUGCGUCUGACCGGGCGGCCUAUCUGCCUCUGCCUGACCAGCCUCCAUCUGUGCUUGGCGAGCUGUGUGACCGGCCGCGACGGUCUGUGUCUGACUGAGCACAAGGUUCCUAGCGGCCGAUCAGCUGCUUGACCCCAUCUCUGCUGAGCCGGCCGACACCGACGGAUUGACUCUGGCAACGCCUGGCCCGAGUGGCGCUACCGGCUUCCAGAGACUUCCUGACCCCUGCCGAGGUUGCACCGCUCAGCGCUGCCCUGUGAGGCGCUGACUGUGGCCGCAGCUGAGUGCGGCUGCCCCUUCACAGACAGGGCGUGCAGAAUGACGGUCGCCUGGCUGUCCCUCCCUAGGCGCCCCUGGCUAGCUCGGCUUGCCUGGCAGCGUCUGUGUCUGAGGGACGUGUUGGUGGCCGCCGCUGGCCGCAUCUGUCCCCCUGCAGGGAGGAGACUGUGCACAAUCAUGGAGGGCAGUGGCAAGUCUGGUGGAGAGGGAAGGAGGUCAGGAAAUAAACGAGAGAGGAAAAUUAAGAGGUAAGGAUGUGAUAGAGGGAAGUAUUGAAAGAAAGCUCAGGGAGAGUGAAAAGGAAGGAAAAGGGGAGAGAGAGGAGGUAAAAGUGAAGGAAAGAGGUUGAGUGCAGUGGUUAUUCCUGUAAUCCCAGUACUUUGGGAGGCUGAGGCAGGUGGAUGACUUGAGGCCAGGAGUUCAAGACCAGCCAGGGCAACAUGACAAAACCCCAUCUCUACAAAAAUACAAAAAUUAGCGGGACAUGGUGGUGUAUGCCUGUAGUCCCAGCUACUAGGGAGGCUGAGGUGGGAGGAUCACUUGAGCCCAGGAGGUCGAGGCUGCAGUGAGCCAUGAUGGCACCAUUGCACUCUAGCCUGGGUGACAAAGUGAGAUCCUGUC